AUCGACAAGCCGCGAUCAACAGGACAAGUGUCAAAACCGCGGACGUGUACAAACCGCUUACCAUCAUCGUGGUCGUUAUGAGGUUUUGCGUGGAAUACUUAAGAAGAUUUAGCUGAUAACUAUAAUACAUAUACAUAAAUUAUUAGAUUUACCGAAGCAAGCUUUUACGUUUAAUCACGUAAUAUAUAUUUUGAGUGAUUACCAUCAACAGAUUACUUGAGACAAAUCGUACGGUUUCGGAACGGAAGUUGUCAACCCUAAUCGUCAAAAGUAUUUAGUUUUCAACAGUUGGGUUUCGGUGAACGUCUGACCAUUGCACAGCAUAAUUAUGUUUAAAACACACGUUGGAUCCGAUAAGUGUCCAGUUAAAGUGCACUCUACGAAUUUAAUCAUGAUGGAUGAGGUCACACAGGUUUAUCAGCUAUUGUAAUUGUAUAAUAUUCAUUACAUUUACAUUGGUUAAUAGCGGAAUUAAAAACCAAGAUAUUGAAUACACUCGUCGAUACAGAUAUAACAAAACAUAUUAUAUAGUUCGUCGAUUAUGCGUCCCGGACACUGGUAAACGAUUUUUUUCCUACCUUUUCUGUAUUCCGAUUGCGUCUUAUUAUACAGUAGCAAUAGUAGAUAAGCGUAAAUUGACAUGAUAAAUCUAAUAUAUGUCACAUAUGAUGUAAAUAUAUGAAAAUAUUAGCCACAUGGAUUUUGUGAAAGCUUUCAUUCAAAAUUCAACUCUUUUUUCUAUACAUCACAUCCGAAUAUUCAUCAAUUUCUAAAAAAUCAAAUGUCUUAAAUCAAUGUCAGAUAGAUACACAUAUAAAAAUAACGUCUAGUCAUAAAUGUAUAUCUGUAAGAUGAAGAGUAAAGUAUACAAAAAAAAACAAGAAUUUAUUGAUGAACAAAUAAACAACUUAAAAAAUAAAAUUACAUAUUUUAUCUUCUUUACAUUAUCUUAAAACUAUUUCACUUAAAAAACCUUUUUUUUUUUUAAAUGACGUAUUCGCUAAGUACAUAAAUGUAUUAUUUAAAUUAUUAAAUUUAUUAUAUUUGGAUUGAUUUUUGUAUAACUAUUAUUUUUUAUAACAUUAAUGACUGGCUAGAAAUGUAUUUUUUGAGUUCUUUAAUAAUUAGAAAAUUAAAAUACAAAAAAAGUGUAUAUUUUCCACUUCAAAGAAAAUAUAUAUAAAUUGUAUUAAAUAGGUUUUCGGUUUUUUGCCAUUAUUUUGUAAUAAUUUACGUUAUACAUUAAAUACCUAAAAUGUUGUGUUAAAUCAAAAUUAUAUAAUACAUCGUAGUUUAUUAUAAAGUAUUAUACAACCCAUAUAAUUAACUGUAAAGUAAUAAUGAGUUAACAUUAUAAUUCAUGAUGGUAUUUAGCAUUACCUAAAAUUGGUUAGAGUCAAAAAAUCAAAAUAUCUGUACCCAACCGAAACAAAUAUAAAUAUAUGUUAAAAUGUAAUUUUUUAUAUCAAUAAUAAUUUGUAUUUGAUAACAACAUAGUCCAAAUUCGGUAUCACAAUAAAAUAAUAAUUAUUUUAUAUAUGACUUAAAAAUGAGAGUAUCUACAAUAUUGCCAUGGCCUUUCCAAGAGAAUCGUAUCUAUUAGUUUAGUCUCUGAACUUGAAUGUGUUUAAUAUAUUGAUUAAAAUAUAUAUAUUUUCUA